rnacentral:tRNA from 1 species
GCGGGUGUAGCUCAAUGGCUAGAGUCCCAGCCUUCCAAGCUGGCUAUGCGGGUUCGAUUCCCGUCACCCGCUCCA